CACGUAGGGUGCGAGCGUUGUCCGGAAUUAUUGGGCGUAAAGAGCUCGUAGGUGGCUUAGUAAGUCGGGUGUGAAGCCUCCAGGCUCAACCUGGAGACGCCACCCGAUACUGCUAUAGCUUGAGUCCGGUAGGGGAGCGUGGAAUUCCUGGUGUAGCGGUGAAAUGCGCAGAUAUCAGGAGGAACACCAGCGGCGAAGGCGGCGCUCUGGGCCGGUACUGACACUGAGGAGCGAAAGCGUGGGUAGCAAACAGG
rnacentral:rRNA from 1 species